ensembl:lncRNA
AGAGACCUUUGGCUGGAUCUCAAGAACAAAAGGAAAGUUUAUGGUCUCUGGAAGAGUGGGCAAGCUACUUAUGAGGAUUACAGUCACAUAUAUCAGCAGUCAAGAUCCACAUCCAAUUCCACAAGGCUCUUACCAGCAUGCAAGAUCCAACCUCAAGAGGACUAACUGCAACAAUCAAAAUUGAUUUUCAACCUUAUUCUACUUAUCAGAAAACAAGACAUAUCCAUUAAACUAAGAUAUACUGGAGCACUGCAAGAUAGCCAAAGCUUUAAAGAACUCAUCAGCCAUCUGUGCCUGCAGGUGUUUACAACAUAGAAUAAAUUAAGAAGUGACAAGUCAUUGAGAAGGUUACAGUUGAAUAAUUACCAUGGAAAACUCAAGAUCUUAUGCACCGUUUCAACUACUGAAGAUGGAGUAUCCUUCUCUGUCCUUUUAAAAUCAGUUGCCACUCUUGUUUAAGUUGUCUGAAGGACAUCUCCCUCCAUCAAAUACAAAACACUUGCAGCAAUUAAGCCAUGUCAAUACUUGCACUAACGAGUUUGUAUUUUUUUUCUUUUUGAUUUAAUUGAUGCAACAAAUUCAGUUAUCAAUGUUGAGAGCAAAGACAUCUGCUUAUUUCCAUCAAAGACAGCUUUCCCUGUGAGAACAUCUUCUGUCUCUAGCUGUUGCAUUUCCUCUCCAAAAAAUGUUAUGAAAUGUUCAGUUCCAACACGUUAAAGAGAAAUAUGUUGAAAUAUAUGGAUUCAAAGACAUCCCAAGCCCUACAUCCUGAAUAAACUUCAAGUUUACUUAAGCAUUAUAAGUCUUCAUCACAGAAUGUGCACAUGUAUCGUCAUAACAAUACAAAACAAAAACACAAGCAUCUUAGAUCUCAUUAGAACUUGACUGGCCUUUAAAGAUUAGAAAGCAAAUUUUAAAAUCCUCAAAUUAAUAAGGUAUUGUUGAGCAAUGAAACACAAAAUGACUCUACCAGUAAAGUGCUCCCAAUUUUGAAAAUGGGAAGAUUUAAAAUGUUUUCAUUCUAAAUAUUAUGUAAGAAAUAUUAUUGUGUAUGAUGAGAAAUAGCUACAAGAUUUUAUUAUGGAAAAUACUGAGUAUUUUAGGGCUAGGAAGAAGUUUCACCUUUUCUAAAAUUGUUCACAAUUUUAAAAAGAAAUAGAAAAUAAAUUAGAAAAAAAAAGAUUUCUACCCUAUUAAUAGGGAGAUAACUAUCAGAAAUCUUCAUAGAAAAUCUAUUAUACUGAUCCUUCUGUUUAGACAUAGCAGUAGCAGGCUUCAGGAUCUUUAAAAGCAAUCUAUGCACAAGAAUAAAGAAAUCAGUAAUUAAGAAUUCUGCUAUCUUUUGUUCCUGUGGAAUGAGCUUUGUUUUGAAAUUCACAGAAGACUUUGAACAGCUGUAGUCAUGAGUAGCUCAGAUGCAAAUCCAUCUUCCAGGAGUUUCAGUCUAAUGCUGAACAGUUAAUGCUGCCCAAAGUAAUUUUUCCUCUGUGAUUGUCUGGAGAGAAAGAGAGAAGACAGAAGACACUCUUCGCUCUGCUCACCACAUUGCCCCAAAGAAUGGUGCAGUGCUGCUAAGCUAGCAGUGAUGUGUUAUUAUUGCAUAGGCUGAGAAAUACACAUGCACUAAGGAAAAUAAUCUCUGUAAGCAUAGAUGAGGAAUCACAACCAUCACCAGCUGUAGGUUGGCUCAGGGCAGCAAGAGGUGCACUCCGCAGCAUCUCACAGUCAUAAAACUGAGACCACUUAGUGACAGAAUUUCGCUAGGACAUAGAAUAAAAGCCCUUGGGCUUGUAAUUUCUUAAAUCAGAGAUGCUGCAGCUGAAGAAUAGCCUUAUAUCUGUCAUCUGAAGUAGAGGCAAGAAUCUGUAUGGUCACUUUUGUGAAGAUGCAGACUCCUCCCCUGGGUUUGAGGGACUGAUUUUGGAGCUACAGGGUGAUCGAGCUCCCUGCUCCUUUAUCCCAGUCUCACUGAGUCUGUGUUUUGAUUGGACAUAAAAAAAAUGUGCCUGAACUCUAUAGUACAUAGAAAACAAAGCCAAGAGAAUGCUUCUUACUGGGGUGGGGAUUUUGACUAAUCAGAAGAUUUGGCUGGUUUAGUAGCACGAGAUAUGUAAGCAGCGAAGUUGGUUACCUUCCAGUGCAGCUGGAAAAUGAAAAGAGAAAAAGACUAAGAAUUAGAUGUAUAGCAGCAGCACGAAAAUAGCAGCAAACCUGGACAUGGGUUAUCUCUGUAAAGCAGAUGUUAUUAAUAUGUCAUAUACUGGCUGGUGUGCAGAGGAACUAGUAAAAUGAUUUAACUGCUAUAAUUAUUCUUAUUUUAUUAUACAGAAUGAACUAAGAUGCAAAUCUACUAACCUACUCUUGAAUAUUCCUAAUAAAGGAAUUUAAUCUUG